UCUGCCGUGGGCGUUGGAAAAUUGAAAGGGGCUGCUCCUAGUACGAGAGGACCGGAGUGGACGAACCUCUGGUGUUCGGGUUGUCAUGCCAAUGGCAUUGCCCGGUAGCUAAGUUCGGAAUCGAUAACCGCUGAAAGCAUCUAAGCGGGAAGCGAGCCUUGAGAUGAGUUUUCCCUGGCGCUAUAAGCGUCCUAAAGGGUUGUCGUAGACUACGACGUUGAUAGGCAGGGUGU
rnacentral:rRNA from 1 species